UACGGAGGGAGCUAGCGUUGUUCGGAAUUACUGGGCGUAAAGCGCGCGUAGGCGGUAUAUCAAGUCAGGGGUGAAAUCCCGGGGCUCAACCCCGGAACUGCCCUUGAAACUGGUAAACUAGAAUCCUGGAGAGGCGAGUGGAAUUCCGAGUGUAGAGGUGAAAUUCGUAGAUAUUCGGAAGAACACCAGUGGCGAAGGCGACUCGCUGGACAGGUAUUGACGCUGAGGUGCGAAAGCGUGGGGAGCAAACAGG
rnacentral:rRNA from 1 species